AAUGAACGCUGGCGGCAGGCCUAAAACAUGCAAGUCGAACGCCCUAGCAAUAAGGAAUGGCGCACGGGUGAGUAACAUGUGGGAAUAUGCCUUUUGGUACGGAACAACGUUUGGAAACGAACGCUAAUACCGUAUGGUCCCUCCGGGGUAAAGAUUUAUCGCCAAAAGAUUAGCCCGCACUGGAUUAGCUAGUUGGUAAGGUAAUGGCUUACCAAGGCGACGAUCUAUAGCUGUUCUGAGAGGAAGAUCAGCCACACUGGGACUGAGACACGGCCCAGACUCCUACGGGAGGCAGCAGUUAGGAAUAUUGGACAAUGGGCGCAAGCCUGAUCCAGCCAUGCCGCGUGAGUGAUGAAGGCCUUCGGGUUGUAAAGCUCUUUAGCCGACGAAUAUAAUGACUGUAGUCGGAGAAUAAGCCCCGGCUAACUUCGUGCCAGCCGCCGCAGUAAAAC
rnacentral:rRNA from 1 species